AAUAAGGUGGCUGAGUGUAUAGGCGUUAGAUUGUAAAUCUAAAUAGGAGUGAGAGCUUUCUUAUUA
rnacentral:tRNA from 1 species